rnacentral:rRNA from 1 species
UACGUAGGCAGCGAGCGUUGUUCGGAGUUACUGGGCGUAAAGGGUGUGUAGGCGGUUGUUUAAGUUUGGUGUGAAAUCUCCCGGCUCAACUGGGAGGGUGCGCCGAAUACUGAAUGACUAGAGUGCGGGAGAGGAAAGUGGAAUUCCUGGUGUAGCGGUGAAAUGCGUAGAUAUCAGGAGGAACACCAAUGGCGAAGGCAGCACUCUGGGACGUGACUGACGCUGAGACGCGAAAGCGUGGGGAGCAAACAGG